GCUCUGCCCUUUGUCCCCAGCCCAUUCAUUCCAGCCCAGACUAUUCAAAUCUGCCUUCUAUCAGGACCUAGAAAGGAUGUAAAACGGCUAGGAAGAAACAUCCCCUGGGUCUGGGGAAGCUGUCAGGAGCAGUGACAUCACAGGGAAAACCACCAAUCAAGUCCAAGGAGACCAGAGCCCAGCCCAUCGCCCAGAGGACCCCAGUCAGAGGCCUCAUCUCAGACCCGAGGCUAGCAUGGGCUGCAGGCUACUCUGCUGUGUGGUUCUCUGUCUCCUGGGAGCAGUCCGCAUAGACACUGGAGUUACCCAAACACCAAAGCACCUGGUCAUGGGAAUGACAAAUAAGAAGUCUUUGAAAUGUGAACAACAUAUGGGACACAGGGCCAUGUACUGGUACAAGCAGAAAGCCAAGAAGCCGCCAGAGAUCAUGUUUAUGUACAACUAUGAGAAACUCUCUAUUAAUGAAAGUGUGCCCAGUCGCUUCUCACCUGAAUGCUCCAAGAGCUCUCUCUUAUACCUUCACCUACAAGCCCUGCAGCCAGAAGACUCAGCCCUGUAUCUCUGCGCCAGCAGCAAAGACACAGCCUUGCAGAGUCGCCGCGUUCCUGUGCAGAAACCUUCAGGGCCUGAGAGGAAGCUGUGGGGGCCAUGCAGGGCUCGGGUUUUUGUCAUGCAGAGUCAAGCAGCUCUGAGCAUUGUGAAAUCAGAGAACGAACUUCCAGGCAAGGAUCCCAGUGCAGAAGCCAGCUGGAGAGGACA